AUCGCGGGCCCGGGAUGCUCCAUCAGCCGUCGGGAAGGCGACCCGGGCGGAGGUCUGGGCGCGUCGGGCAAGUUGCGUGCGGUUCCGGUUUCCCCUCCUCGACUGAAAUCAGCCGCAGUCUUUCUCCAUCACUACUCUUCUGCCUUUUUCAACCCGGGGGUUUGUUUUGCCGUGUACAUCCAUUCGUGCUCCAGAUGCAAGCAUGCUGUUGUAUCAGGUCUCUUCAUUACAUUGCCCAGCUAAAUUACAAUUUUAAUGAGAAAAAGAAAAGUGAUGGACUCGUUCACAUCUUGAAACUAAGAGAUCCCUCUCCCUACCUGCCGAAGAAGCAGACCGAAACCUGAAGAUUUUCCAAGGGGUUGGCCACCUGCCUUUUAACCAAGAGCUGUGGUUAGGAUGUACGUGGAGCAUCAUGCAGCAGUCAUAGACCUCAUUUUCCCUCUUUACCCGGGGGCAUUUGAAAUCAUACCUCUUGUUCUCCCACAACAUUAUUUUGACAACAAACUGCAGUAUCUCUGGAGCAGGAGAGGUAUCUUAAGUCAUCAAUGGAUGAUGGGAGCAACCCCCUGCAGCUUCACUGUGCACCAUCCAUUCAGAGGGAGAAAACAGAGCGAGCCCUCCAUUAACACAGAUGAAAUGUCACCCACAGGAGAAUUAUGCACAUGUGCAGUGAUUUAUUCCUAUGCCAUCAAAAAGGUCUGGAUUAGUCCAACAUCUCAUUCCAAACCAAAAUAACUUUUGAGGGAGGGGGAUUAGAAUUUUUGAUUAGUUCUAUUGCUACCUUCCUUAUUUGAUUAUAUGCCUUUUCCAUUUUGUCUCCCUACUUUUAGCCUUGCAGGAUAAUUCAGGUUGAAAGGAAUCUCAGGAGGAUGUCAAGUAAAACCGUCUGUUGCAGAGGGUUUACUUUACUUUGCCCUCUAGAGCAGGCAGCUGAAGACUUUGUCAAGUUCAGAAUGUCUCUGCAAACAGAUUCCAUCAUCUUCCCAGGCACCCUUUGCUGGUACUUUCCCUGCAUAUGCAUAAGCUCAGUUCUAAAACUGUCCCCACCCCAUUUCCACAAUCACUCCAGUUUCUUUAAAUUUGCAGCUAGGAGACAGCAACAACAAUUCCAUGAGAGCAGGAGGAGCCUGGUAACAGGCAGAGAGGAAGUCCAGUAGAUUUGAAGAGGUAAUUUUGCCUGGAUUUAUGGAAAGGGGAGAAGCAAUCCUGUUGAUACUUAAUUUAUAGUUAUCUACAACUAAUUAACAGUAAGAAGGAAAAGCAAAAUUUUAGCAGUGAGACAGCAAGAGAAAGCACUGGUAGAGCCAAUAACUUAUUUACAGAUGCUCUUUUUCCUCAAUUGAACCAAAUUCAGGUUCAAUGGAAAUGUUGCACUUCAGGGUGAAAUCAUUCAGGAAAGUUGCUGAUGGGUAGAAGAGUCCAGUUGGUCUCUUUCUUCAUUCCCUCAAUAUUUUCUGUGUCAAUACUGAUUUUUUCAGUUUGCUUUCUGCCACUGCAGGUCCUAUCAGUUCUCUGGACAGUGGCAGGUUGUAGGUGAAAUUCCCAAAACCUGAGAAUAGCAGCAAAUUGUUACUCUAUACUAUGUAUAUACAGCAGCAAAUUGUUUCUCUAUACUAUGUAUAUACUCAUCCCUCUGUGUCUGUGUGGCACUUUCUCUGUAACACAAUUUAUGUUCAGGCUGGCUGGCCUGCUGCUACAGCUUUCAGUUUAAAAGCACAGGAAUUAUCAGGUAGCUUUAUCUUUCUGCAGCUGUUGUCUUUUUCCAUCAUACCUGACCUGCUGGUGUUGAAAAUGCCUCUUGUCUGAAAAGCUCUGUUACUAACAAGAGAAACACUGAUCUGUAGGAUUUCAGAGGAAAAAGGCAAAAAUUCUCCUUUCCAGUGUGUGGUGGAAACUUCUGUACCACAGAUGUAGGCUCUGCUAGAAAAGCCAUGUUUUGACCAUAUUUUUGGUUGUCAUAGAAAUUAGUUUAUAGCUUAACUUCACAACUGCUUCUUUUUUUAAGUAAUUAGGGGAUGCAAUGUAACACACUAUCAUUUUUUAUA